CCUACGGGUGGCAGUAGUGGGGAAUAUUGCACAAUGGGGGAAACCCUGCUGCAGCGACGCCGCGUGAGUGAAGAAGUAUUUCGGUAUGUAAAGCUCUAUCAGCAGGGAAGAAAUAGCGACCAUUGGGUCGCCAGACGGUACCUGACUAAGAAGACCCGGCUAACUACGUGCCAGAAGCCGCGGUAAUACGUAGGGGGCAAGCGUUAUCCGGAUUUACUGGGUGGAAAGGGAGCGAAGACGGCAGCACAAGUCUGAAGUGAAAGGCAGGGGCUUAACCCCGGAACUGCCUUGGAAACUGUGCAGCUAGAGUGCAGGAGAGGUAAGUGGAAUUCCUAGUGUAGCGGUGAAAUGCGUAGAUAUUAGGAGGAACACCAGUGGCGAAGGCGGCUUACUGGACUGUAACUGACGUUGAGGCUCGAAAGCGUGGGGAGCAAACAGGAUUAGAUACCCUGGUAGUC
rnacentral:rRNA from 1 species